UUAUCAAAAACUAGCUCUAAGUUUUAUUUAGAGUCUCUUCUGCCCACUGAUAUGUUGAAUGGCCGCAGUACCCUGACUGUGCUAAGGUAGCGUGAUUCUUGUUUUCUUAAUUAGAAAUCUGUUCAAAGAAUGAUAUGCAGAAAAUCUAUUGUUUUUAUACCUUGUAAAUUUAAAUCGUUAGUGAAAAUUCUAACUUGCUAAUAAAAGACGAGAAGACCCCAUAAAACUUUAUUUUACACUAAUCUUUAUUCCUUAAAAAUUUAGAUGGGGACUCUUGAGUAUUUUUAUAACUUUUUUGAUCUAUUUUAUAUUUUCUGAGAAGCUACUUUGGGGAUAACAGGGUAAAAUAUUUAGAGAGUUCUUAUCGAUAAAUAUGAUUACUACCUCGAUGUUGGAUUAUUUUAUCAUAUAUAUUGUAGCAGUAUAUAUAGUUAGUCUGUUCGACUAUUAAAAAAUUACAUGAUCUGAGUUCAACCCGGAG
rnacentral:rRNA from 1 species